UCCAGGUUGCUCUCAAGUUUUCCUGCAGCAUUACUCAACCUGGUUCUUCUCCUUCCAGUCCUGUGCUCUCCCUCCCUGCCUGCUCCAGGCUCUUUAUACUGAAGUUUGAAUUCCCGGCCCCUCCCCUCCAGAAACACCUGGGAGCUGCUGUACCAGAAGUUACUGCCUAGAAGUUCUUCCCUAGAGAAGUUCCUUUUUCCAGCCAGGGAACAAUCCCAGUUCAUUCCAUUAGGGAGAAGGACCAGGUCUGGAUGGAGCAUUUUUGUGAUGCUUUGAUGUCUGGGAACUAUAUUGGAGGCUGUAUUGGAGGUAUUAAAGACCAUUGGUUAACAAGUCUGUCAGCCAAAACUGUCUCAAUCAGUAUGGAGUUAUGAGAAUAGUCAUUAAUGUAUCCGGGAAGGUGAGCCAGGGAUGCCUGUGUUUGGACUGCUGUGUGUUUGUUUGGUGGGCUGUGCAUUUGGGCAUAUGUUCUGAGCAGC